GCACUUAAAAGCUUGAAAAUCACUUUAACAUGGACAAAACGUGAACGAAACGAAUCGCAAUGUUCACAAGACUUGUAGAGCACACCAAAAGCUUCCGUAUAGAGGUUAUUGCGAUAGUUUUCGACGUUUAUAUAUCAUGUUAGAUUUUUUCAAAAAUUGAAGAUAGCCCAAAAACACUAAAUCGACUUGAGCCACCUCGAAAUUUUGUCCGAAUUAGCUGAAAAUUUGACAGGAGACUUAUUUUAGCAUAAGCAUUGUGAUUCUUUGCUGACCGGUUAAAAUUUUGAUACUUUUUGAAAACAUGAAGAGGUCUAAUAUAUAUAUAUAUGCGAAACGAAGUUUCUAUAAAACGUGUAAUCUCAUCGAGUAAUGUGAAAUUUAAACAUUUUAAGUAAUAUAGUGAAAGUAUCAUCAAUAAUGUCCUGCCGUGAAUCGCAAGUCAUGGAAUCCAUAUACAGAUGGGACUGACUUGCGAUUCACGGCAGUGUUGAUGGUGUUGUACUAACUUCGUUGAAAUAAAUAAAUUUAAUCGAAAAUUAGACAUUUUAAGAAAGCAAUACACGGACGGCUUGUUUUUAUAAGAAAUUGCAAACAUUUUUAAAUGUAGAGCCAUUUAUUCACCCAGAACAUUAAAAAUCCUUUUUUUGCCUUUCUCGUAUACUAAGUAUACAAUUGGCCAGAUUGGACUAUGGGAUCAGAAAUUAUGACCAAAAUACUAUUUUCUAUGCGCAAAACAAGCUAAAAAUCAAAGCACUCACUCAUGUUUUUAGUAUUUUUUUUUGCACGAGAAAGGCACCAACACCGUUAGGUGGAUUAAUGAGGGUUUAUUUUGUAAAAUCGUAGGCAAUAAACCUAUCUAUGUGUGUGUAAUUUAAUAUUGUGAAUUAAAACAAUAUUAAUUGCAGAAUUGAAAGGUGAUCCAUCUUGCUCCGCUGUUUGACCCAUCGUACCCCGGCAUUUUUUGAUUAACAGAAAAAUAGACUUCUACUUCUACAGAGAAUUCAAACCCUGCGCUUCGGAGAUUAUAACAAACAGAUUUGCACCCUUUUCAUGUUAUGCGGAUACAAGCACAAACCAGUUCAUUUUUAAAUUCAAAAAGAUAAUUUAUCUGAAGAAUUCGCGUCUUGCCGUGAUUAACAAUUCCAAAAAUAAAAAUUCUUUAAUUUCAAUACAGAGAAUUAUGAAUUGUUUUAGCCUAUUCCGGCCAGUACUGCAAAAGAUCAUGAUCGUCUUAAGACAGAAAGCAAAACGCUUUUUUCUAUCUCAGGCGACCAAACGAAAGUAUCGUGGAUUCUUUGAUCAAUUUCGCAUGGAAAGCAGUCAUGAAAAGAUGUGGUGCUUUGUUUUAAAAUUUUUGAAUUACACUGGAUUCUGUUUUUACACGAUUUACAUUUUCUUAACUUUACACUCAUCCUGAAUGUUUAACGGAUAUUAAUGAUUUUUCUUUGAUUUAUUCAGGAUUUUUGAAUCACGUUGCAUAGAUUUUGUUGGUAAAUUGAAGUCACACGAUCAAAAAUACGAACAAAAAAAAAACGUAAAAACAGAAUCCUGUGUAUUUUAAUAGGUAUAUGUAAAGAAUAAUGACUAUUCAAAAAAUAGUCAUGUUCUUUUAAUCCACCGAGUUGAAUGUGGUAAUAAACACAAAAAUGAAGCGAUAUUGCACACUUCCAUGCCUUGUCACGGAAUAAAUGAUGAAAAUGAUCACAUCAGUCGCAUUUUAACUAAAUGAGUUAUUCUUUUGUAUCUUACUAGAAAACAGGGUUUUUUUUUCCCUUAUUUUGUUCUGUAGGUCUACCGCUGAAGGCUGCUACAACAGAACGAUAAAAUCGGGAAUCAUAGUUAAUAACUGUGGAAAUGUUAUACGAAUGGGGUACUAAAAACCAAGUAAUUCGAUUGGAAUACGUACGGCCGAAUUAUAAACGUUUAGAACUGGUGUUGCCCAAAUAGAUCUUCUUUACUGAAGUGAUAGAAAUUUGAUUAAUUUAAGCAUACUGUACUCUGCAGUACUAUCCGGAGUAUGGUGCAUACCGUGUACAGCUUUGCGAAAAUGCCUUUGAUGAUCAAUACUAGUACUAAAGGAUCUUUCCUUACAUAUUUCUUAAACGGCAAUUUUAUGUUAAGCUUUCCAGUAAAUGCGACUAUUUCAAUAAAUAAUGUUUUCCUAAACCAAUUCACCAUAUAGAUGUUUUAUUAUUGUUGGUUUGUUGAAAUGCUUAUUAGAUAAGGAUGCAGCUAAUGAAGAACGGAAUAAAGCUAAUAGAAUUAAAUUACAGUUAUUUCAAAAAUCAUUUAUGUAUGGAGAAGAAAAAUGAAUUUUAAUGUAUGAAAUAUAACUAGUCGCAAUAAACUCUAUUUACUCAAAGCCAGAAUAAAUAAUACGUAGCACUAUUGAUAAUAA